rnacentral:rRNA from 1 species
GACGAACGCUGGCGGCGUGCUUAACACAUGCAAGUCGAACGGAAAGGCCCUGCUUUUGUGGGGUGCUCGAGUGGCGAACGGGUGAGUAACACGUGAGUAACCUGCCCUUGACUUUGGGAUAACUUCAGGAAACUGGGGCUAAUACCGGAUAGGAGCUCCUGCUGCAUGGUGGGGGUUGGAAAGUUUCGGCGGUUGGGGAUGGACUCGCGGCUUAUCAGCUUGUUGGUGGGGUAGUGGCUUACCAAGGCUUUGACGGGUAGCCGGCCUGAGAGGGUGACCGGCCACAUGGGGACUGAGAUACGGCCCAGACUCCUACGGGAGGCAGCAGUGGGGAAUAUUGCACAAUGGGCGGAAGCCUGAUGCAGCAACGCCGCGUGCGGGAUGGCGGCCUUCGGGUUGUAAACCGCUUUCGCCUGUGACGAAGCGUGAGUGACGGUAAUGGGUAAAGAAGCACCGGCGAACUACGU